UACCAUCAUUGAAAAUUGCUGAUCCAGCCCUGGGGAGGAGAGUGAUGUGGGCUCUGGUGGGCAAAGACUUCAUUGAGAUCCUGACCAAGAAGCAGCACCGCCUGUUGGAGGAGGAGAGGUGAAAGAAGGAGGAAGCCCUCCAGGUUCCUGUCAAAGGCCAAAGUCUUACCUCUCAGAUUCCUCUUGGUUUGCGAAGAAGCAGAACACCCUGUGUCUGGAGCAGGGCGAUGGGCCUAUGCCUGGCAGCAGCCUGGGCACCAAAAUCUGGGAGAGCAGCACUCAAGGUAGGAGCUUGUGUU
rnacentral:lncRNA from 1 species